rnacentral:lncRNA from 1 species
UACCAGAUUUUCUACAUAGACGAUCAUGUUACAGAUUCUCUAUACAGGCUGACCCCUAUGGCCUACUAAGAAUGAAUAAUUAAAACUCUAGGAAUCCCAGGGUUUGUUGGAGUUCAGGGUUGUCGCUGAGUGGUGGAAAUAUUGUUCUCAACCAAAAAAAAAAAAAAAAAUGUGGGGAUUACAUGCCAGUACCAUCCACCCCUGCAUUAGAAGUUUUCAUCGAAGAGCUUCAUUUCACAAGGUCUUUGAUGGAACAACAGAAGAGACAGGGCUCAUCUGACUGAUCCAAGGAGCAAGGACACCCAGGACUUAUCUUUAGAUCUCACCUCACCUGCCUGAGCAAGCCAGUGAGAAUGGGAUGUAAGGAGUCAGCUCUAGAGGUCUAAAGAAUCAUCUAACAGGGAAAGCUGAAUGUAUGGACAUUCUGCGGUCUUCUGCCACCCAGAAGUACAGGGCAAGAUGUCCAGAAUGUGGAUCCUAUCUCUGACCUUAUCCCAUUUUUUCAGUUAUUCUCAGCAGUCACUUUUUUGCUUGUAAGUAUAGAGACGCUCACCUUACUCAUAAUACAAUCUAAAGAUCUUCCAUGACCUCUCUGACCUGCAGGAUCUCCCUCUAAUGCCUCUCUUACCCUUCCCUUCUCUUGAGCUUUGCUUGACAUUCCUGGUAUCUCUGCCAAGGCCACUCUCCUCCCUGAGUACUGCUUGGCUCACUCCUUCAUUUAACUUUCACUUUGACUCAAGUUACCAUGUUUUCAGAGAUAUUUACAUAUACUUCACAAGUAUUCCUACUUAUGAUGGUUUUUUGUGUAUCAACUUGACAGGGCAAAGGGAUGUCUAGAUAGCUGGUAAAACAUUGUUUCUGGUUAUGUUUGUGAGAGUGUUUCUGGAAGACGUUAGCAUUUGAAUGACUAGACAGAGCACAGAAGAUCCACCUUCACCAAUGUGGGUGACCAUCAUCUAAUCCCUUGAGGGCUAGAAUAGGACGACGACAACAACAACAACAACAAAAGAAACCACAGCAAAUUUACUCUUUCUGUUUGACUCGGACACUCUGUCUCCUCCAGCUUGGGGACACUGGUGCUCCUGGUUCUCAGGCCUUUGAAGCCAAACCAGCAGGGUUUACAACAUUAGCUCCCCUGGUUUUUGGACCUUUGGACUUAGGCUGAAUUAUGGCAGUGGCUUUCCUGGUUCUCCACUUGGGGAUGGCAGAUCAUGGGACUUCUUGGCCUCCAUAAUUAAGUGAGCCAAUUCCCAAGCUGAAGAAUAAAAUUCAAUAGAAA